rnacentral:rRNA from 1 species
UGUGUACGGGUGGUUGUAUGGGUUCGCGCUGUAUACAGUGAAACUGCGAAUGGCUCAUUAAAUCAGUUAUCGUUUAUUUGAUAGUACUUUACUACUUGGAUAACCGUGGUAAUUCUAGAGCUAAUACAUGCUAAAAAUCCCGACCUCCGGAAGGGAUGUAUUUAUUAGAUAAAAAACCAAUGCCUUCGGGCUCCUUGGUGAUUCAUGAUAACUUAACGAAUCGCAUGGCCUUGCGCCGGCGAUGGUUCAUUCAAAUUUCUGCCCUAUCAACUUUCGAUGGUAGGAUAGUGGCCUACCAUGGUUUCAACGGGUAACGGGGAAUUAGGGUUCGAUUCCGGAGAGGGAGCCUGAGAAACGGCUACCACAUCCAAGGAAGGCAGCAGGCGCGCAAAUUACCCAAUCCCAAUUCGGGGAGGUAGUGACAAUAAAUACUGAUACAGGGCUCUUUUGGGUCUUGUAAUUGGAAUGAGUACAAUUUAAAUCCCUUAACGAGGAACAAUUGGAGGGCAAGUCUUCCCCC